UGUGUACCUACCUCUGUUGCUUUGGCGGGCCGCGGUUCUCCGCGGCCGCCCCCCUCCCCGGGGGGUGGCCAGCGCCCGCCAGAGGACCAUCAAACUCCAGUCAGUAAACGAUGCAGUCUGAAAAACAUUUAAUAAACUAAAACUUUCAACAACGGAUCUCUUGGUUCUGGCAUCGAUGAAGAACGCAGCGAAAUGCGAUAAGUAAUGUGAAUUGCAGAAUUCAGUGAAUCAUCGAAUCUUUGAACGCACAUUGCGCCCUUUGGUAUUCCGAAGGGCAUGCCUGUUCGAGCGUCAUUACAACCCUCAAGCUCUGCUUGGUAUUGGGCACCGUCCUUUGCGGGCGCGCCUCAAAGACCUCGGCGGUGGCGUCUUGCCUCAAGCGUAGUAGAACAUACAUCUCGCUUCGGAGCGCAGGGCGUCGCCCGCCGGACGAACCUUCUGAACUUUUCUCAAGGUUGACCUCGGAUCAGGUACGGAUACCCGCUGAACUUAAGCAUAUCAAUAAGCGGAG
rnacentral:rRNA from 1 species